AGAGGGGGAACACUAUCAAUACAAGAGGUAAAAGAAUUUAAAAACUAUAAAAAAUAAAUAAAAAUAAAUAAAAAUAAAGCAAUAAUAAUAAAAUAAAAAAUAUACAAAAUAUACAAAAGACAAAAACAGACUGAAAAUUGGGGGUGUAGUUUUAAAAAUGCUCUAAACUCAAAGGAGGGAGUCUCGCAAGGAUGCACUGAGCAAUUAGGGGGUGUGGGGAGACUUCAUCUUCC
rnacentral:lncRNA from 1 species